CGUAGGGUGCGAGCGUUGUCCGGAAUUAUUGGGCGUAAAGGGCUUGUAGGCGGUUUGUCGCGUCUGCUGUGAAAAUUCGGGGCUCAACCCCGGACGUGCAGUGGGUACGGGCAGACUAGAGUGUGGUAGGGGAGACUGGAAUUCCUGGUGUAGCGGUGAAAUGCGCAGAUAUCAGGAGGAACACCGAUGGCGAAGGCAGGUCUCUGGGCCACUACUGACGCUGAGAAGCGAAAGCAUGGGGAGCGAACAGGAUU
rnacentral:rRNA from 1 species